AGCACUUACAUUUGUUUUUAAUUUGUGGACAAAGACUACAUGUAGAUGCAAAAAAAAAAAUCAAUCCUCUUUUGCCACCCAGAAUUCAUCAUUCAGUAUGAGUUUUGAUACGUAUAAGAAGGAACAUA